UUUUAAUUUCCGGAUCUCCAGGCGUGAUACCUGCCAGCAGCGAGGAACCGAUAAUGGUCAGCCCAGUCUCUGAAACUAGAGUUGCCCCGAAGGAACCACUUUAUUCUAUAUAUUAAUCAUGUUUUAAUCAUCCUGUAAGGUUGGGAGCAGAGGGUGAUGAGUGGUGGUGACGCUGAUUGUGCGUGAAACAGGUGCGUCAAUCACGUGAAGAGGUCAAACGCAGGGGGAACAUUCAGAAACUCCACGGUGACUUUUUGGACAACAUCCGCGUCCAGAACCAGUUUACCGACCUCAAGAAAGUUGUGGAGAAGUUGAAAGACUUAUUCAGAGAAAAACAAACGGCGGCCUUCUCUGGCUUCACACAGGAACCUGAAAGCUUCCAACUGAACUGUGAUGUUCGCUAUGACUAUUGUGUAGGAAACAUAAACCCUGCUGACCCGCUCGCUUUGGAUGCGUCAACUUUACGCAUUUUUUACGCACGGAAUCUGUGGACUGUGUGGACAUCUUCAGCUCUUCGUGGCUGCCAAGAAGGACUUUUUUAUCUGCAGCUGGGCCGCUGAACUCUGUACAAGGAAACAAAGGACAAUGGACUUGGAAUAAGAAGCCGCUUCGCUGUGUUCCUUUGCAGGAUGAAGCCCAGAUGCCUCCUCUCCAGCGUGGACAGACUUCCCACCAUCAGUGAGCUGCAGGAGAGCGACGUGGAGGACGGAGAGCCCGACUGCUCCUCACAUACCAUGGAGGAGUACGUGGACUCCAUCAAGGAGCUCUCCCAGCCGGCCCUCUACCCGCUGCACGGGCCCCUCAGGGGUCACCGCCGCUGGACGCUGCGCUCGUGCACCACCGUCACACCUGGAUUUUUAAAUUCCCCGCGGACCUCUGUGGACCUAUCGGAUGUGUCGCUGACAUUAACUGAGCAUGCGAACUGUGACACGCCAUCACGGUUUAGGCAAAACCUGCUGGACAUGCUGGUGGCCCAGUCUCCGUUUGCAGGCCUGGUGUGAGCCUCGGCGAGGGUCUGCUCCCGGCCUGGUCGUCCCUACAGCUCAACGUUUCAUGGCUCAUUUAUGUGAGAAGAAACGGAGCUCUGCGCAAGUGAUGCGGUUCCCUUUGAAGUGCUAAAUGAAGGCAACACAUGAAACAAAAGAUGAAAAGAGAAGAAUAUCAAGGGCAGAACAAACAAAUGAGCCGAGACCGCCUGAGGAGUGAGCGAGCUAUGCGGCUGCAAAGGGCCCCUCGGCCACCAGGGGGCCCUCGAAGAAACAAACUGGAUUUCUCUGGGAUUAAAAUCUCGAUUAAAUUCUUAAAUCCAAUAAAUAAUGACUAAAUAUUUGGGCCCCCGGACAUUAAUUCAAAACAUAAACUCUCCUUCAACUAUAUAUCAUAAUUUAAAUACUUAAAGAUACAGUCCCUUAUUUUUGCUAUCAGACUCCUAUGAGGGCCCCAAACUAAGGAUGAUUUCAAUGCCUAAAUAAAACAAACAAAAAAUAAGUAGUUGUCCAGGGGCCUCGGCCUCCAGGGGCCCACUGACAUGAACUGAAAAUGUGAAAUCUCUUUAAGUUCUGGGUUCUAAUAUAAAUAUCCAAAGACACAACCCAAGACUUUUAUUUCUGGUUUCUGGAAUAAAUUCUCAAACAUAAACUCCCAGAUUUUUGUCAUCAGACUCUUCUUAGGACUUCAAACAAAGAAUAAUUUAAAAUGCCCAAAUAAAAACAAGUCAAAACUAGUUUGUUAUGGGCCCCUCAGCUGCCAGGGGCCCACUGAAAAGAAGUGAAAAUGUGAGCUCUAUUUAGAUUCUAAUUUUAGCAAGUUUUCCUUCAAGACGUGUGUUUUAAGCUCUUCUGUAGGAGUUUUAAAAUGGCAAAUUAAUAACGAAGUAAACACCUCGGGCCCCUUUGACGUGAACAGAUAAUGUGAACUCACUUUGGACUAAACAUUCAUUGAUACUUGAUGUCUUUGUUUUAUUAUAAAUCUAGCAUAAAAACGAGUUUGUUAUGACAAUAAAAAGCACUUUAAAUGUUUUUGCACUGCAUUCUUGUUGAUACGGUUUAGUGUCCACAGUUGUUUUGUGUAUUUCAAAGAUCUUUUACUGAAUUUUGAAUAAAACUAUUGUGAGAAUAUGAAGAUAAAACGUCUCCAGUUUGCAUGUGAACAUCCCGUCCGACGCCGCCGUCCUUCCUGAUCCUAUGAAGCUGCGAUUCACGUUCAACUGCCUACUUUUAGUUUCUUUUUCUCUCAAGUUCUGCGACCAUGAGAAAAGUGUCUCCAGCUGGGUCUUGGCAGGAAUCGCCUGACUUACGUCCAACAAACAUGUGGUGAAAGAGUCGGAGAGCAGACCCCCCCGGAGACAUUUCCACAGAACAAGCCAGAGUUUUAUUCUGACCCCUUACACAUUGUGCAACACUGCAUAUGUUGAGCACAUCGAGCAGGAACAUGCAGGAUCCCUCAGGAAGGUGGCUGCAUGUCAUAAUGUUCCACAGCAAUAACUGGAACUAUUAGGAAGUUAAUGAUAUGCAGAUAACAAAAGACUUUUGAG
ensembl:lncRNA